GAACACUAGCCAAUCGAAAUCAUCCACGUUAGAAAACGUACAUGUAUAAAAUGUCUAUUCAAUGUACGGUCAUCAUUUAAACUACUCGUGUAUUCUGUAAGACAGACAUCAUUGUUUUUAUGUUAGAUUUACUGAGCUGAUUAAAAUGAAGAUCGCAUUUUUUCUUCUUCUGGUCUGUAUGGCAAAUCUCUUUGUUAAAACAGAAAGUUGUUGCAAGACAGCUGGACGCUGUUCGAAGAAUAUUGAAUGUUGCAUAGCAUAUUAUUGCACCGAUUAUAAAUUAAAAAGCAAAAGAUGUAUUCCAAAUGGAAAAUAAAAAGUGAAAACACAAAAUGAAUAAAAUAAACUUAUAGAAAAAAUAAACAUUUGGCAUUGACAAUGUUUUUAAAGUUAUUUUUUUGCUUUGGUUAUUUACUACAUGAACACGGAUCA